rnacentral:sRNA from 1 species
GAAGAAGAUGGCUUCGUGUUAUGAUUUCUUUCUUUCACUGAAAUUUGGCAAAAUGGCAAAGCGUCUCUUUGGAUGGGCUGAUAAUGAUAAGUCUCAAGCUCUGCCUCAGCCAUCAAAAUCUCAAGUUAGAAUUUUGACACGAGACGAUCCACGAGGAUUUAAUUAUUAGUAGUAACAUGUAGCAGCAGCUGCAGCA